AGGGAAAGCUGGUGGCAGGCCUAACACAUGCAAGUCGAGCGGAUGAAGGUAUCUCGCUCCUGGAUUCAGCGGCGGACUGGUGAGUAAUGCCUAGGUAUCUGCCUGGUAGUGGGUGAUAACGUCCGUAAACGGGCGCUAAUACCGCAUACGUCCUGAUGUGGUAAGUGGGGGAUCUUCGGACCUCACGUGAGUUUGUUCGCCUAGGUCGGAUUAUCUAGUUGGUGGGGUAAAGGCCUACCAAGGCGACGAUCCGUAACUGGUCUGAGAGGAUGAUCAGUCACACUGGAACUGAGACACGGUCCAGACUCCUACGGGAGCACGCAGUGGGCACACUUGGACAAUGGGCGAAAGCCUGAUCCAGCCAUGCCGCGUGUGAGAAGAAGGAAUUCGGAUUGUAAAGCACUUUAAGUUGGGAGGAAAAAAAAUAAGUUAAUACCUUGCUGUUUUGACGUUACCAACAGAAUAAGCACCGGCUAACUUCGUG
rnacentral:rRNA from 1 species